rnacentral:rRNA from 1 species
GAUGAACGCUGGCGGCGUGCCUAACACAUGCAAGUCGAGCGAGGAAAGAUAGCUUGCUAUCAAUCCUAGCGGCGGACGGGUGAGUAACGCGUGGGUAACCUGCCCUAUACACAUGGAUAACAUACCGAAAGGUAUGCUAAUACAAGAUGAAACAUUGAUAAGGCAUCUUAUUAAUGUCAAAGCCUUGGCGGUAUAGGAUGGGCCCGCGUCCCAUUAGUUAGUUGGUGAGGUAACGGCUCACCAAGGCCACGAUGGGUAGCCGACCUGAGAGGGUGAUCGGCCACACUGGAACUGAGACACGGUCCAGACUCCUACGGGAGGCAGCAGUGGGGAAUAUUGCACAAUGGGCGAAAGCCUGAUGCAGCAACGCCGCGUGAGCGAUGAAGGCCUUCGGGUCGUAAAGCUCUGUCCUCAAGGAAGAAUUUUGACGGUACUUGAGGAGGAAGCCCCGGCUAACUACGUGCCAGCCGCCGCGGUAAAAC